rnacentral:rRNA from 1 species
GUGUCAGCAGCCGCGGUAAUACGGAGGGUGCAAGCGUUAAUCGGAAUUACUGGGCGUAAAGCGUGCGUAGGCGGUUGUUUAAGUCAGAUGUGAAAGCCCCGGGCUUAACCUGGGAACGGCAUUUGAUACUGGGCAACUAGAGUGUGGUAGAGGAGAGCGGAAUUUCCGGUGUAGCGGUGAAAUGCGUAGAUAUCGGAAGGAACACCAGUGGCGAAGGCGGCUCUCUGGACCAACACUGACGCUGAGGUACGAAAGCGUGGGUAGCAAACAGGAUUAGAUACCCCCGUAGUCC